GCUAGACGAGUUUGAUCCUGGCUCAGAGCGAACGUUUGCGGCGGGCCUAACACAUGCAAGUCGAACGGGUUGGCAACAACCAGUGGCGCACGGGUGCGUAACACGUAGGUAAUCUACCCUCAAGUUCGGGAUAACGAUCUGAAAGGAUCGCUAAUACCGGAUGUGUUCCGAAAGGAAGAAAGACCCGCAAGGGUCGCUAGAGGACGAGCCUGCGGCCCAUCAGCUAGUUGGUGAGGUAAUGGCUCACCAAGGCUAAGACGGGUAGCUGGUCUGAGAGGAUGAUCAGUCACACUGGAACUGAGACACGGUCCAGACUCCUACGGGAGGCAGCAGUGGGGAAUAUUGCGCAAUGGGCGAAAGCCUGACGCAGCCACGCCGCGUGAGCGAUGAAGGCCUUCGGGUCGUAAAGCUCUGUGGGGAGAGACGAAGAAAGCCUGUGAAGAGCGGGCCUUGACGGUAUCUCCUUAGCAAGCACCGGCUAACUCCGUG
rnacentral:rRNA from 1 species